UCUUAUUUUCCUCCGCCGUUUCCUUCAUUCCUUUUCCUCACCGAAAACCCGUGCGCCCUUUUUCCUUCCCCGUCGCGACCGUGCCCUAACCACUCAGCGGUUCUCCUCCUCCCUUCUUCCCUUCUUCUUUUCUUCCCCCGACAGACCUCAUUAUGCCCUAACUCCUGGUCGCCUUCUUCUCGCUCGGAGCAGCGCCGCCACCACUUCUUCUUCUCUUCUCGCAAGCGCCGGCGAUGCUUGCGCCAACCGUGCCCUAGAUCCACCGCCGACCGCAACUCACAAAGCCGACGACGAGCAGUGCCGGUCCUCCCUCCUCUAUUUCCCGAUUUCCCCUUCCCUCCUCUGUGCCGAACCCCGGUGCCCAACGCCACCUUGCCGGCCGAGUUUGAUCUGUGCUCUAGUUUUCAGAUGCCGAGUUCUUCCUCUCACUGAUUGGAAUAGCGCUGAGGGUUUUUAAGGAGAAGGUGUCAAGUAAGGGGGAUUCCAGUCAAGUGUUGUGCACUGUGGGGAAGAUUUCAGCAAGGAGGUUUUGCUGUGGUAUACCUUGUUUCCAGCAACAGUUACUUCGUCCAGCAGUAACUUUCCUGGCCUGUGGUGUAACAGGAGCAGCUGAGAAGUAAGGACUUUGACGCGAGACGCGUAUCUUGACUACCAGUUUGGACCUUUUUUAUUGGAGGCGGG